AGGUGGCCGAGUAGCAGGCAUUAGGCUUUUAAUCUAACGACGAUAUUAUUAUCCCU
rnacentral:tRNA from 1 species